CUCGAGGCCAGAUCUCCUGGCUGAGGACGAACGCUGGCGGCGGGCUUAACACAUGCAAGUCGAACGAGAAGCCCGGAGCUUGCUCCGGGUGGACAGUGGCGCACGGGUGCGUAACGCGUAGGCAACCUGCCCUUGAGUGGGGAAUAACUACCGGAAACGGUAGCUAAUACCGCAUAUUGUCGAGAAACCGCAUGGUUUUUCGAUAAAAGCCUUCGGGCGCUCAGGGAUGGGCCUGCGUCGGAUUAGGUUGUUGGUGAGGUAACGGCUCACCAAGCCUACGAUCCGUAGCUGGUCUGAGAGGAUGAUCAGCCACACUGGCACUGAGACACGGGCCAGACUCCUACGGGAGGCAGCAGUGAGGAAUAUUGCGCAAUGGGCGAAAGCCUGACGCAGCCACGCCGCGUGGAGGAUGACACCCCUAUGGGGCGUAAACUCCUUUUAUACGAGAAGAAGGCCUUACUCGGUAAGGUUUGACGGUAUCGUACGAAUAAGCACCGGCUAACUCCGUGCCAGCAGCCGCGGUAAUACGGAGGGUGCAAGCGUUGUCCGGAAUCACUGGGUGUAAA
rnacentral:rRNA from 1 species